rnacentral:rRNA from 1 species
UACGGGGGGGGCAAGCGUUGUUCGGAUUUACUGGGCGUAAAGGGCGUGCAGGCGGUCUGUUAAGUGCAGGGUGAAAGCUCCCGGUUCAACUGGGAGAGGUCCUUGCAUACUGGCGGACUUGAGGGGGGUAGAGGAAAGUGGAAUUCCCGGUGUAGUGGUGAUAUGCGUAGAUAUCGGGAGGAACACCUGUGGCGAAGGCGGCUUUCUGGGCCCUACCUGACGCUGAGACGCGAAAGCGUGGGGAGCGAACCGG